rnacentral:rRNA from 1 species
UGAGCAACCUGCCCUUGACUCCGGAAUAACAGCUGGAAACAGCUGCUAAUACCGGAUACGACCUCCGAUGGCAUCAUCGGAGGUGGAAAGCUCCGGCGGUCAAGGAUGGGCUCGCGGCCUAUCAGCUUGUUGGUGAGGUAACGGCUCACCAAGGCUUCGACGGGUAGCCGGCCUGAGAGGGCGACCGGCCAUACUGGGACUGAGAUACGGCCCAGACUCCUACGGGAGCAG